rnacentral:rRNA from 1 species
UUCGGUUGAUCCCGCCGGACCCGACUGCUAUCAGAGUGGGACUAAGCCAUGCGAGUCAACAUAGCAAUAUGUGGCAUACGGCUCAGUAACACGUAGUCAACAUGCCCAGGGGACGUGGAUAACCUCGGGAAACUGAGGAUAAACCGCGAUAGGUCAUCACUUCUGGAAUGGGUAAUGACUUAAAUCUAUAUGGCCCCUGGAUUGGACUGCGGCCGAUCAGGCUGUUGGUGAGGUAAUGGCCCACCAAACCUGUAACCGGUACGGGCUCUGAGAGGAGGAGCCCGGAGAUGGGCACUGAGACAAGGGCCCAGGCCCUAUGGGGCGCAGCAGGCGCGAAACCUCUGCAAUAGGCGAAAGCUUGACAGGGUUACUCUGAGUGAUUUCCGUUAAGGAGAUCUUUUGGCACCUCUAAAAAUGGUGCAGAAUAAGGGGUGGGCAAGUCUGGUGUCAGCCGCCGCGGUAAUACCAGCACCCCGAGUGGUCGGGACGUUUAUUGGGCCUAAAGCAUCCGUAGCCGGUUCUACAAGUCUUCCGUUAAAUCCACCUGCUUAACAGAUGGGCUGCGGAAGAUACUAUAGAGCUAGGAGGCGGGAGAGGCAAGCGGUACUCGAUGGGUAGGGGUAAAAUCCGUUGAUCCAUUGAAGACCACCAGUGGCGAAGGCGGCUUGCCAGAAUGCGCUCGACGGUGAGGGAUGAAAGCUGGGGGAGCAAACCGGAUUAGAUACCCGGGUAGUCCCAGCCGUAAACGAUGCAGACUCGGUGAUGGGUUGGCUUCGCGCUAACCCAGUGCCGCAGGGAAGCCGUUAAGUCUGCCGCCUGGGUAGUACGGUCGCAAGACUGAAACUUAAAGGAAUUGGCGGGGGAGCA